UCAUAUUCCUGACGUAGUAGUUCUGAUUUGGUAGUACUUCUGAUCUCUUGCCGUCUUCUCCUAUUCUUGAUGUAGUUUGGAUCUUUGUCCGUCUUCUCAUAUUCUAGUUGUAGUCAGAUGUCUUGUCGUUUUUUCCUAUUCCUACCCACCACAGUUUCUCCUAUUCUCGUUGUAAUUAAAAGAACUGUUUUUUUCUUUAUGUUAUGUCAUGUAAGCCUAUUUGUUAAAGAAGUUUAUGUCUAGGAUGUCUAUCAUGGUUUAUAUACUUUAAAAGGUUUUGAGCUGAAACAAUCACCAAUUGCAUUAUUCUAUCAAGAAGCGGUGGUGCAGUGAUGUUCAUUACUAAUUUAAAGGAAUCGUCCAAAUUGGAUUUCUGCAUCAACUCUUGCAGACGAUUCUUAUAACUCGGUAGGUCAGAAACAUCUGCCUCGGUAGGUCAGAAACAUCUGCCUCGGUAGGUCAGAAACAUCUGCCAAGGUGAAAGGGAAUAAAAAUAUUAUAAAC